rnacentral:tRNA from 1 species
AGUCGUUUAGCUCAGUGGAAGAGCAUCUGGUUUACACCCAGCGGGUCGGGGGUUCGAAUCCCUCAGCGACUA